rnacentral:rRNA from 1 species
CCUACGGGACGCAGCAGUGGGGAAUAUUGCACAAUGGGGGAAACCCUGAUGCAGCGACGCCGCGUGAGUGAAGAAGUAUCUCGGUACGUAAAGCUCUAUCAGCAGGGAAGAAAAUGACGGUACCUGACUAAGAAGCCCCGGCUAAAUACGGGCCAGCAGCCGCGGUAAUACGUAGGGGGCAAGUGUUAUCCGGAUUUACUGGGUGUAAAGGGAGAGUAGACGGCAGCACAAGUCUGGAGUGAAAUCCCGGGGCUUAACCCCGGAACUGCUUUGGAAACUGUGCGGCUGGAGUGCAGGAGGGGUAAGCGGAAUUCCUAGUGUAGCGGUGAAAUGCGUAGAUAUUAGGAGGAACACCGGUGGCGAAGGCGGCUUACUGGACUGUAACUGACGUUGAGGCUCGAAAGCGUGGGGAGCAAACAGGAUUAGAUACCCGGGUAGUC